UUAAAAAAAAAUAUUUACGCGUCGAUGAAAAGUCAACAGGUCACUCAUUAAUUUACUAUAAAUAUGCUAGGAAAUACUCACUCGAUUUGCAACGCUUGAAGGCUGUCUGCAAACUUUACGUAUAUUCAACACAGGUUGAGGAAAAUUGGAAAUGUCGAAAAUUAUUUUGUUGUUAUCUAUUUUUAUAUUCAUGGGCCUUUAUGCCAGUUCAGUUGAAGGAUGUAAAGGCGAUUGGUGCCACCCCCAGCAAGGUUACAAUUGCUGCGAUGACCUCGAAUGUGAUGCCGGAUACUUUUUUCAAGGACACUGCAUAAGAAGGCGGAUGAUGUAGGUUCGGAAAGUAGAGAAAAACAAUGAGAAGUUAAAAAAUAAUUUGUUAACAUUCUAUUUAGUGUAAAUAAAAUAUGAGUAAUUGGAAAUUUAAAGGUAAAUUUAAAAAUGCUUGUAAUCGUUAUUGUAAAACUUUUUUCAAAGAAAAUACAUAUUAUACCGUGUUUUUUAAUGAGUGAA